UUUACUUGCAGAACCUAAUAGUGAGCAUGUUUUAGUAGAUGGAGUGUUAUGUUUUGGGAAGGAAAACUUAGAGAAACACUUGAAAAUGGAAGACUUCUUCUCUUGUGCUCUUGAUUACAGCUGGAAAAUUAAUUGUGGUGAGGUCUAAGGUCAAGGAGGAGAUGAUUUGAAGCUUGAAAUUCUUGAUGGAUUG